GGUUUCCUGGUGUAAUGGUUAUCACUGUGGAUUUUGAUGCACCAACUUUCCACCGAUCUGGGUUCGAUUCCCGGGGAGACCU